rnacentral:rRNA from 1 species
ACGGGUGAGUAACGCGUGAGAAUCUGGCUUCAGGUCGGGGACAACAGUUGGAAACGACUGCUAAUACCGGAUAUGCCGAGAGGUGAAAGAUUAAUUGCCUGGAGAUGAGCUCGCGUCUGAUUAGCUAGUUGGUGGGGUAAGAGCCUACCAAGGCGACGAUCAGUAGCUGGUCUGAGAGGAUGAUCAGCCACACUGGGACUGAGACACGGCCCAGACUCCUACGGGAGGCAGCAGUGGGGAAUUUUCCGCAAUGGGCGAAAGCCUGACGGAGCAAUACCGCGUGAGGGAGGAAGGCUCUUGGGUCGUAAACCUCUUUUCUCAGGGAAGAAAAAAAUGACGGUACCUGAGGAAUAAGCAUCGGCUAACUCCGUGCCAGCAGCCGCGGUAAUACGGAGGAUGCAAGCGUUAUCCGGAAUGAUUGGGCGUAAAGCGUCCGCAGGUGGCCAUGUAAGUCUGCUGUUAAAGAGUCAUGCUCAACAUGAUAAAAGCAGUGGAAACUACACGGCUAGAGUACGUUCGGGGCAGAGGGAAUUCCUGGUGU